AUGUGAUCGUCUCUCGCAUAUCAAUAAGCGGAGGAAAAGAAACUAACAAGGAUUCCCCUAGUAACGGCGAGUGAAGCGGGAAGAGCUCAAAUUUGAAAUCUUAAAGGGUUUCCCUUUACGAAUUGUAGUUUAAAGAAGUGUUUUCUGUUGAGGUUUUGGUAAAAGUUCUUUGGAAUAGGACAUCAUAGAGGGUGAGAAUCCCGUAUUUGACCUUUACUUUCAACUUUGUGAUACACUUUCAAAGAGUCGGAUUGUUUGGGAAUGCAGUCCAAAAUGGGUGGUAAAUUUCAUCUAAAGCUAAAUAUUGGCGAGAGACCGAUAGCGGACAAGCACCGUGAGGGAAAGAUGAAAAGAACUUUGAAAAGAGAGUUAAACAGUACGUGAAAUUGUCAAAAGGGAAGCGUUUGACACCAGUGCUGUUUUUCUGAAAAUCAAUUAAAGAACUGUUUAUGCUAAGUUGUUUAGACUUUAUCAGCUAACUGUUUAGUUUUGAGCUUUUCUUUAAUGCACUUUUCAGUUAACAAGUCAACAUCAAUUUCUUUUGCUGUAAAAAAGCUUGAGGAAGGUGGCUUGAGAUUCGUCUUAAGUGUUUAUAGCCUCUUGCCUAUGCAGUCGGAGAGAUUGAGGUCUGCAGCGUAGAUCCUUCGGGGCUAAAUGCAUUUGUGCUAAGCUAUAGCAUUUUAUAGACAACUUGUUGACUAUGAUUUGUCUUGUAGCUUACUCGCUUAUGUUAUUUUACCUACGCUUAGGAUGUUGACACACGCGCGUGCUCG
rnacentral:rRNA from 1 species